UUAGAAAGCAAGGUGAUUGGAAACCGAACAGACGUAUCUUAGAAAUAGCACGUAACUAAAACUGACUCUACAGUCUGUUGACCCUUUAAAUGCCCGUACACACAUGGAAGAACACGAUAUAAUAUAAAACAUUUCACGUGCAUCAAUCACUGUUUAAAUGGUUGUUUUUAAAAUGCUUUAUCGAUUGUAGUUAAUAAGUACUGAAGAAUAACAAGAUGAUAUUCCCGUAUUCGGUUAGGCAAAAUCUCGUGAACUGUCGGUCACAUUCGAUGAAAAUAACCACAAUCAGCAUGUACGAAUUAUGUAC